UACGUAGGGUGCGAGCGUUAAUCGGAAUUACUGGGCGUAAAGCGCGCGCAGGCGGUUCCUUAAGUCUGAUGUGAAAGCCCCCGGCUCAACCGGGGAGGGUCAUUGGAAACUGGGGAACUUGAGUGCAGGAGAGGAAAGCGGAAUUCCACGUGUAGCGGUGAAAUGCGUAGAUAUGUGGAGGAACACCAGUGGCGAAGGCGGCUUUCUGGUCUGUAACUGACGCUGAGGCGCGGAAGCGUGGGGAGCAAACAGG
rnacentral:rRNA from 1 species